rnacentral:rRNA from 1 species
CAGUAGCCGCGGGAAUACGAAGGGGGCUAGCGUUGUUCGGAUUUACUGGGCGUAAAGCGCACGUAGGCGGACUUUUAAGUCAGGGGUGAAAUCCCGGGGCUCAACCCCGGAACUGCCUUUGAUACUGGAAGUCUUGAGUAUGGUAGAGGUGAGUGGAAUUCCGAGUGUAGAGGUGAAAUUCGUAGAUAUUCGGAGGAACACCAGUGGCGAAGGCGGCUCACUGGACCAUUACUGACGCUGAGGUGCGAAAGCGUGGGGAGCAAACAGGAUUAGAUACCCGCGUAGUCCCUGUCUCUUAUAC